AUUAUAUUAGCAUAUUUAGUGCAUUAAAUUUAGAAUUUAAAUAAAUUAUAAAUAUUAUAAUAUAUAAUA
rnacentral:tRNA from 1 species